rnacentral:rRNA from 1 species
UAAGGAAUAUUGGACAAUGGACGCAAGUCUGAUCCAGCCAUGCCGCGUGAAGGAUGAAUGCCCUCUGGGUUGUAAACUUCUUUUAUAGGGGAAGAAAGAUACUUUUUUUAAGGUAGUUGACGGUACCCUAUGAAUAAGCACCGGCUAACUCCGUGCCAGCAGCCGCGGUAAUACGGAGGGUGCAAGCGUUAUCCGGAUUUACUGGGUUUAAAGGGUGCGUAGGCGGGCAUGUAAGUCAGUGGUGAAAUACCGGAGCUUAACUUCGGAACUGCCAUUGAUACUAUAUGUCUUGAAUAUUGUGGAGGUAAGCGGAAUAUGUCAUGUAGCGGUGAAAUGCAUAGAUAUGACAUAGAACACCGAUUGCGGAGGCAGCUUGCUACGCAAAUAUUGACGCUGAGGCACGAAAGCGUGGGGA